rnacentral:rRNA from 1 species
GCCCAAGAGAUCGGGAUAACACCUGGAAACAGAUGCUAAUACCGGAUAACAACAGAUGAUGCCUAUCAACUGUUUAAAAGAUGGUUCUGCUAUCACUCUUGGAUGGACCUGCGGUGCAUUAGCUAGUUGGUAGGGCAACGGCCUACCAAGGCGAUGAUGCAUAGCCGAGUUGAGAGACUGAUCGGCCACAUUGGGACUGAGACACGGCCCAAACUCCUACGGGAGGCAGCAGCA